UGACGAUUCUGUGGCGGCUGAAACAGGAGAGUCGCGCGGCCUCUGACCCCACUCUCUGCAGCAAAUAUCUGCUUACGCCCCUGGACUCAUGGACGCUUCUCACUGCUGACUGGAAUUCAGUUGUUUUAUGUGCAGCCAUUUCAGUAUCCAAAUGAACUGUUGGACAUACACAAUGUACAGAGAGAGACGUUCUUUAUUCAAGGGCGUUGUUUCUCGGGAUGGGCUGUUUGUCUUCUUACCCUGUUGUUUCCAGUUUGGUCCUUGUAGUAGAUCCAGUUGAGUUUCUCAUUGGUGCGGUACUGCACAGUGUACUUGGUAACCCACUCAUCAGAGUCACAGCGCCCCUGGGUCAGGAUCCCAGAAACCACUUUGACCUCCUUCAGGUCAAUCUGAAGCCACUGCCACCAUACUGAGCAGUACUUCAGAGAACUCACCCAAAUCCUUGGCUGUUGAGCCUUGCCUUGCUUGCAACCCAGGAGGAGAACCAGCCUGUGUACUGGUCUUCAUUAGAGCAGCUCAUCUGAUCUGAAGUCACAGAUCCUGCCUCAAAACCCAGGGGCUUAUGACCGUUUCUCUUUCUUACCUGGCAUGCAGUCCAUCUCCUGCGCCCAACUUGAUGAAGAACCUUUGGAAAGCAGUUUGCUAGAGGAAUCAUCGCAGUCACACUUGCAGGUUUUCCCAGCCCAUGUGUCGUUGCCCUCGCCAUCCUAAGCACAUAUCAACAUAGUUAUUAAUAUCUUGUCUUUUAAUUGUCUUUAUGCCAAUAUCAAAUGUUUUUAAUUACCUCUUGCGCUUGUAACCCAACAAAACCUGGGAAAAUGUGGAAGAGUAAAAGACUUUUAUUAUCUCAUUAGGCUAAAUGAACUGUUAAUACAGGUUGAACAGAAUUUAUUAAGACUUAAAUUCACAUUAUACAACCAUAAUUCACAAUCAUUUUUGUUUAUAUAUUUAGUUUAUCGUUAACAUUUUUUUAUUUAAGUCUGAUGCACUUUUUUAAAAUUUUAUCAUUUAAUUUCUGAUAAUUUAUUGAAAAUAAUGGAACAUACCUUCAGACACCAGCAGGAUGGCUAACAGUAACGUGUUCUGCAGUCUGUACUCCAUGAUGGUUUAUUUUUCGAGUGGUGGACCACCGCACUGAUAUUAAAGGGGCUGGAUUACUGUAAUCCACGGAGCACUAAUGGCCUUAUCUAAUGCCCUUUAUCUCAAAGCUCCUCCCCUUUACUGCUAAAAGCUAGUUUGAAAUUGUUCACAUCCCAGUCCGACCCUUGUCUGUUAAAAAAGAGAGAAAUAGCCAAACGAUCCCAGAUUAUAAAGCCGGACGAUCACCUUCUGUGACCCAGUUAAUGGUUCAAUGCAUACAAUUAACUCAAUUCAACUUCCCUGGCAAUCUGUUGAUGCAAUUCACUACAUACAAUAUGCCAUUUCAUGGAGAGAGGCUGGUUUCUUUCUUUUCAGUGUCGUUUUUCUUCUGUAAUUGCUGCAAUAAAUUAUCCAUUUAUUA